rnacentral:lncRNA from 1 species
CAAACACUCCAAGACACGUAUUUGGAUCUGGAUUAGCUCUGCUGCCUGUGUGCCUUCUCCUGUUGGACAUUGGAGAAUGACUACGGCUCCUUCGACGACGAUAUUCUGGCGUGUACGAUCUGCUUCGAGAACGUCUCCUAUGGGAAUGAGAAUGGGAAUGGGAUCUGGAGCGAGUGUAACGUCUGUGCGAGUGCCUUCUGGACCUGGAUCUCGAUUUUGAUCUUGACCUAGAGUGUGAUUCAGAAUGUUUGGAAGCUCUCGAUGGACUGCGAGAUCCUGACCUGCUCUCCGAUUUUACACGAGCAGGACUCCCAGCUGGAGAUUUUGACUGGGAGCGAGACUCCCUCCCCUCGAAGUUGUUCUCCUCCACGUCGCUCAUGUCGGCAAAGUCCUGACCGCGGGGCCGGGCGAACGGGGACGCUAGUCCCGAGCAGCGACCGCACCCACCGCCGCUACCGCUAUGGUUACCGCGGUUAAUGCUAUCCCUACCGCCACCGCCGCCUCCCUCCCGCCAAAGCCUCCCAACCCGUCUCCCGCAGCAGCGCAAAAUGGCGCCUCCGCUUCGUCUGCGCCCGACACGGCUCGGGGGUGGGGCCCGGCCCGGCCCGCCCGCC